UAUAGGAAGACGGGAUGCCUGAUUUCUGAAGUUUCCUUGAUGGCCCAACUAAAGAAGAAAGGCACCAAAUCCUCACUUUAACAGCUCUGCUCCUGACAGGUGAGAUGAACUGUGUGUUUGGCCCAUCUCUACACCUCAUUCCUGACUGCCCAGUGUAGGCCCUCACCUCAGAGAAAAAAGUCCUUCUUCCACAUACUCUUUCAUGAUCCAAACUAAAACCCAAAGCCUCUGAAACUCCUUAGGGUAAUAUUUCAACAUUUGGACUAUGCAUCAAGGUCUACUUGAAGAGAUGUACAGAGGGGAGAGCAGAUACGUUUAUGGAUCCAAGACCAGCAAAGUCAAUUUUGGCUAAGGAGAUACUUUCACAAAUGGUCUUUCCUGCACCCCCUCCCCCAUGUUCCUUAAUUUAAUGGCUUAUAAAUCAGCUAUCCAGGGGAGGAAAGGAUAUAAACUAUGUGACAGCACUCUAUAAAUCAUAAGAUGCUACAAAAUAAAAACAUUACUAUUUGAUUAAUUCACCUAAUAAUGGUGAUAUGCAUACCAUAUGGAAAAUUUCUUGUGAUUUAUCUCUGGUUAUUAGUACAUUCACAUUUAUCCCAAAUAAAC